ACGGAGGGUGCAAGCGUUAUCCGGAUUUACUGGGCUUAAAGGGUGCGCAGGCGGUUUUUUAAGUGUGUGGUGAAAUCUAAUAGCUUAACCGGUGAACGGCUUGGGAACUGGCAGACUUGAGUUCAGGAGAGGAAAGUGGAAUUCGUAGUGUAGCGGUGAAAUGCGUAAAUAUUAGGAGGAACACCUGUGGCGAAGGCGGCUUUCUAGACUGUAACUGACACUGAGGAACGAAAGCGUGGGGAGCAAACAG
rnacentral:rRNA from 1 species